CUCCCACGUCCAAGGAUGGCAGCAGGCGCGAAAAUUGUCCACUCUUUUGAGAGGAGACAGUUAUGAAACGUGAGUAGAAGGGUCGAGUGUAAAAACCUUGACGUGAAGCAAUUGGAGGGCAAGUUUUGGUGCCAGCAGCCGCGGUAAUUCCAACUCCAAGAGUGUCUAUGGUGGAUGCUGCAGUUAAAGGGUCCGUAGUCGUAGAUGCAAUUAAAAGGUGGUGUUAAAAGCCAUUGAGUUUGUUGAGAGUAGCGGAACGGAUAGGGAGCAUGGUAUAGGUGGGCAAAGAAUGAAAUCUCAAGACCCCACCUGGACCAACGGAGGCGAAAGCGAUGCUCUUAGACGUAUCUGGGGAUCAAGGACGAAGGCUAGAGUAUCGAAAGUGAUUAGACACCGCUGUAGUUCUAGCAGUAAACUAUGCCGACAAUGCUGGGUGUUGCGAGAGCGAUGCUUGGUGUGGGAGAAAUCUUAGUUUUCGGGCUCUGG
rnacentral:rRNA from 1 species